rnacentral:rRNA from 1 species
AUGCAGUCGAACGAUGAAGCCCUUCGGGGUGGAUUAGUGGCGAACGGGUGAGUAACACGUGGGCAAUCUGCCCUUCACUCUGGGACAAGCCCUGGAAACGGGGUCUAAUACCGGAUAACACUUCCGUCCUCCUGGACGGUGGUUAAAAGCUCCGGCGGUGAAGGAUGAGCCCGCGGCCUAUCAGCUUGUUGGUGAGGUAAUGGCUCACCAAGGCGACGACGGGUAGCCGGCCUGAGAGGGCGACCGGCCACACUGGGACUGAGACACGGCCCAGACUCCUACGGGAGGCAGCAGUGGGGAAUAUUGCACAAUGGGCGAAAGCCUGAUGCAGCGACGCCGCGUGAGGGAUGACGGCCUUCGGGUUGUAAACCUCUUUCAGCAGGGAAGAAGCGAAAGUGACGGUACCUGCAGAAGAAGCGCCGGCUAACUACGUGCCAGCAGCCGCGGUAAUACGUAGGGCGCAAGCGUUGUCCGGAAUUAUUGGGCGUAAAGAGCUCGUAGGCGGCUUGUCACGUCGGUUGUGAAAGCCCGGGGCUUAACCCCGGGUCUGCAGUCGAUACGGGCAGGCUAGAGUGUGGUAGGGGAGAUCGGAAUUCCUGGUGUAGCGGUGAAAUGCGCAGAUAUCAGGAGGAACACCGGUGGCGAAGGCGGAUCUCUGGGCCAUUACUGACGCUGAGGAGCGAAAGCGUGGGGAGCGAACAGGAUUAGAUACCCUGGUAGUCCACGCCGUAAACGGUGGGAACUAGGUGUUGGCGACAUUCCACGUCGUCGGUGCCGCAGCUAACGCAUUAAGUUCCCCGCCUGGGGAGUACGGCCGCAAGGCU